rnacentral:lncRNA from 1 species
CUUCUCUCGUGUGACUAGUGAUAGGACUAGAGGGAAUGGCUUCAAGCUGCGCCAGGGAAGAUUCAGGCUGGACGUUAGGAAAUGCUACUUCUCUGAAAGGGUGGUCAGGCACUGGAAUGGGCUGCCCAGAGAGGUGGUGGAGUCACCGAGCCUGGUGGUGUUCAAAGAGCGUUUGGAUGUUGUGUUGAGGGAUAUGGUUUAGCGGGAACCAUUGGUGAAGGGUGAAUGGUUGGACUGGGUGAUCUUGUGGGUCUUUUCCAACCUUAGUGAUUCUAUGAUUCUAUGAAUUAUUUUGAAUAUAUUUUUUCUGGAUGAAUUGAUAAAAAGCUAUGAAGUCCAAAGUUGUAGCAUACAUGAG